rnacentral:lncRNA from 1 species
CCGGUGGCCGUGGAGGAAUCGUCCCGUUGAGCAAUGACCCCGGUGACGCGGCUGAGGGCUAUAAAAGCAAAAGUUGUGGCCGGUCCAGCAGGAGUUAGCGACAGGGAGGGAUGCGCCCCUGGGUGUAGUUGUGGGGGAGGAAGUGGCUAGCUCAGGGCUUCAGGAGACAGACAGGGAGAGAUGACUGAGUUAGAUGAGACUAGGGGGCGGGCUGGGGGUGCGAGAAGGAAGCUUGGCAAGGAGACUAGGUCUAGGGGGACCACAGUGGGGCAGGCUGCAUGGAAAAUAUCCGCAGGGGCUCCCAGGCAGAACAGCCACGCUCCAGGCCAGGCUGUCCCUACUGCCUGGUGGAGGGGAAACUUGACCUCUGGGAGGGCGCCGCUCUUGCAUGGCUGAGCGAGCCCGGGUGCGCUGGUCUGUGUGGAAGGAGGAAGGCAGGGAGAGGUAGAAGGGGUGGAGGAGUCAGGAGGAAUAGGCCGCAGCAGCCCUGGAAAUGAUCAGGAAGGCAGGCAGUGGGUGCAGGGCUGCAGGAGGGCCGGGCGGGCUAAGCUUCAACUUGUCCAUGCCAGCAGCACCUUUUUUUCCAGACCAAGGGCUGUGAACCCGCCUGGGGAUGAGGCCUGGUCUUGUGGAACUGAACUUAGCUCGACGGGGCUGACCGCUCUGGCCCAGGGUGGUAUGUAAUUUUCGCUCGGCCUGGGACAGGGCCCAGGCCGGGCCCAGCCUGGUGGAGCGUCCAGGUCUGGGUGCGAAGCCAGGCCCCUGGGCGGAGGUGAGGGGUGGUCUGAGGAGUGAUGUGGAGUUAAGGCGCCAUCCUCACCGGUGACUGGUGCGGCACCUAGCAUGUUCGACAGGCGGGGACUGCGAGGCACGCUGCUCGGGUGUUGGGGACAACAUUGACCAACGCUUUAUUUUCCAGGUGGCAGUGCUCCUUUUGGACUUUUCUCUAGUGUUCCUCAUGGCGAGCAGAUGGAACCGGGAGACAUGGAGCCCCUGGCCAGUGUGAGUCCUAGCAGUGCAGGAGGGGAGACCCUGGAGGAGAGAGCCCGCCUCAAUUGAUGCCUGCAGAUUGAAUUUCCAGAGGCUUAGGAGGAGGAAGUUCUCCAAUGUUCUGUUUCCAGGCCUUGCUCAGGAAGCCCUGUAUUCAGGAGGCUACCAUUUAAAGUUUGCAGAUGAGCUUAUGGGGGGCAAUCUUAAAAAGUCCACAGCAGAUGCAUCCGGCUCGAGGGGCCAUCAGCUUUGAAUAAAUGCUUGUUCCAGAGCCCAUGAAUGCCAGCAGGCACCCCUCCUUUCCUGGGGUAAAGGUUUUCAGAUGCCGCAUCUUCUAAAUUGAGCCUCCGGUCAUACUAGUUUUGUGCUUGGAACCUUGCUUCAAGAAGAUCCCUAAGCUGUAGAACAUUUUAACGUUGAUGCCACAACGCAGAUUGAUGCCUUGUAGACGGAGCUUGCAGAUGGAGCCCCGUGACCUCUCACCUACCCACCUGUUUGCCUGCCUUCUUGUGGGGAAGACUGAAGAAGUGUUAACUGAAAACAGAUGACACAGAGUCACCAGUUUUCCGAGAACCAAAGGGAGGGGUGUGUGAUGCCAUCUCACAGGCAGGGGAAAUGUCUUUACCAGCUUCCUCCUGGUGGCCAAGACAGCCUGUUUCAGAGGGUUGUUUUGUUUGGGGUGUGGGUGUUAUCAAGUGAAUUAGUCACUUGAAAGAUGGGUGUCAGACUUGCAUACGCAGCAGAUCAGCAUCCUUCGCUGCCCCUUAGCAACUUAGGUGGUUGAUUUGAAACUGUGAAGGUGUGAUUUUUUCAGGAGCUGGAAGUCUUAGAAAAGCCUUGUAAAUGCCUAUAUUGUGGGCUUUUAACGUAUUUAAGGGACCACUUAAGACGAGAUUAGAUGGGCUCUUCUGGAUUUGUUCCUCAUUUGUCACAGGUGUCUUGUAAUUGAAAAUCAUGAGCGAAGUGAAAUUGCAUUGAAUUUCAAGGGAAUUUAGUAUGUAAAUCGUGCCUUAGAAACACAUCUGUUGUCUUUUCUGUGUUUGGUCGAUAUUAAUAAUGGCAAAAUUUUUGCCUAUCUAGUAUCUUCAAAUUGUAGUCUUUGUAACAACCAAAUAACCUUUUGUGGUCACUGUAAAAUUAAUAUUUGGUAGCAGACAGAAUCCAUGUACCUUUGCUAAGGUUAGAAUGAAUAAUUUAUUGUAUUUUUAAUUUGAAUGUUUGUGCUUUUUAAAUGAGCCAAGACUAGAGGGGAAACUAUCACCUAAAAUCAGUUUGGAAAACAAGAGCUAAAAAGGGAAGGGGAUGGGGAUUGUGGGGAGAGAGUGGGCGAGGUGCCUUUACUACAUGUGUGAUCUGAAAACCCUGCUUGGUUCUGAGCUGCAUCUAUUGAAUUGGUAAAGUAAUACCAAUGGCUUUUUAUCAUUUCCUUCUUCCCUUUAAAUUUCACUUGAAAUUUUAAAAAUCAUGGUUAUUUUUAUCGUUGGGAUCUUUCUGUCUUCUGGGUUCCAUUUUUUAAAUGUUUAAAAAUAUGUUGACAUGGUAGUUCAGUUCUUAAUGACUUGGGGAUGAUGCAAACAAUUACUGUCGUUGGGAUUUAGAGUGUAUUAGUCACGCAUGUAUGGGGAAGUAGUCUCGGGUAUGCUGUUGUGAAAUUGAAACUGUGAAAGUAGAUGGUUGAAAGUACUGGUAUGUUGCUCUGUAUGGUAAGAACUAAUUCUGUUACGUCAUAUACAUAAUUACUAAUCACUUUUCUUCCCCU